GACGUAGGGCGCGAGCGUUGUCCGGAUUUAUUGGGCGUAAAGAGCUCGUAGGCGGCUCGUUGCGUCGGCUGUGAAAACCCGCAGCUCAACUGUGGGCUUGCAGCUGAUACGGGCGGGCUGGGAUUCGGUAGGGGAGACUGGAAUUCCUGGUGUAGCGGUGAAAUGCGCAGAUAUCAGGAAGAAUAUCCGUGGCGAAGGCGGCUCUCUGGUACGGCACUGACGCUGAGACGCGAAAGCGUGGGGAGCAAACAGG
rnacentral:rRNA from 1 species